rnacentral:lncRNA from 1 species
AUGAACCAGUUCUCCACCUUGUGUUUAGUCAGGAUGGUAUAGUCUCUCGAGUUGAGUCUUUAUAAACCAAGAACUCGUACAGUAGGUAGGCUUGAAGCUUUGCCAAAAUGAAUUUGAUGGCCAAUGAAGGUUGAGUUUAGGCCAACUCUAGCCAUACCCUUCUACACUAGAUCUUUGAUGUGUCUCAUCAAAGUUGCCAGCUCAUUAACCUCAUGGUACACUAAUACACCAGACUAGGAAAAUUGGGCC